GUGGCUGUAGUCAAGCGGUUCAAGACACAGGAUUGUGGCUCCUGCAUUCGUGGGUUCGAAUCCCAUCAGCCACCCCA
rnacentral:tRNA from 2 species